GAUGAAGAACGUAGCGAAAUGCGAUAAGUAAUGUGAAUUGCAGAAUUCAGUGAAUCAUCGAAUCUUUGAACGCAUCUUUCGCUCCUUGGUAUUCUGAGGAGCAUGCCUGUUUGAGUGUCAUUAAAUUCUCAACCGCACUGACUUUGAAUUGGUGUGGCUUGGAUUUGGGGGGAAAAUUGUUGUGGGCUUUUUUGUAUAGUCUGCUCCCCUGAAAUUGAUUAGCGGUACCUUUGUGGAACUGUCUACAGGUGUGAUAAUUAUCUACAUCCUAGACAUCUGCUGGAAUGCUGCUUUCUAAACCUUACUUGUAUUGACAAUCUUGACCUCAAAUCAGGUAGGACUACCCGCUGAACUUAAGCAUAUCAAUAAGCGGAGGA
rnacentral:misc_RNA from 1 species